rnacentral:rRNA from 1 species
AGUGAACGCUGGCGGUAGGCCUAACACAUGCAAGUCGAACGGCAGCACAGUAAGAGCUUGCUCUUACGGGUGGCGAGUGGCGGACGGGUGAGGAAUACAUCGGAAUCUACUUUUUCGUGGGGGAUAACGUAGGGAAACUUACGCUAAUACCUCAUACGACCUACGGGUGAAAGCAGGGGAUCUUCGGACCUUGCGCGAUUGAAUGAGCCGAUGUCGGAUUAGCUAGUUGGCGGGGUAAAGGCCCACCAAGGCGACGAUCCGUAGCUGGUCUGAGAGGAUGAUCCGCCACACUGGCACUGAGACACGGUCCAGACUCCUACGGGAGGCCGCAGUGGGGUAUAUUGGACAAUGGGCGCAAGCCUGAUCCAGCCAUACCGCGUGGGUGAAGAAGGCCUUCGGGUUGUAAAGCCCUUUGUUGGGAAAGACAAGCAGCAGGUUAAUACCCCGCUGUUCUGACGGUACCCAAAGAAUAAGCACCGGCUACCUUCGU